rnacentral:lncRNA from 1 species
CUGCCACCCUCCCGCCCUCCCUCUGCCUGGGAACCGCUGUUAUUUCAUAAUUAAGGACAGUAACGAGGAGCUGGAGGGAGCAGCAGGGAUGAAAAGCCUAAUGCAGGUUCAUCGCCCAGUGGCCCUGCCUUUGGUGGCCGCUGCUGCAAUCCAGGGCUGACUCUCCCACCCCACGACUUCCCUGCUCCUACCUGGGGUCCUGGCAGUGGAAGAGGAGCCCCACUGUGGCAGAGGAGCUGGAGAAG